CAAGUCGAGCGAUGAAGCACCUUCGGGUGUGAAUUAGCGGCGAACGGGUGAGGAACACGUGAGAAAUCUGCCUUCAACUCUGGGAUAACUCCGUGAAAACGGGGCUAAUACCGGAUAUGAGAUCUACAGGCAUCUGUGGAUCUGGAAAGUUUUUCGGUUGAAGAUGAUCUCGCGGCCUAUCAGCUUGUUGGUGAGGUAAUGGCUCACCAAGGCGACGACGGGUAGCCGGCCUGAGAGGGCGACCGGCCACACUGGGACUGAGACACGGCCCAGACUCCUACGGGAGGCAGCAGUGGGGAAUAUUGGGCAAUGGAGGAAACUCUGACCCAGCGACGCCGCGUGCGGGAUGAAGGCCUUCGGGUUGUAAACCGCUUUCAGCAGGGAAGAAGCGAAAGUGACGGUACCUGCAGAAGAAGCACCGGCUAACUAUGUGCCAGCAGCCGCGGUAAUACAUAGGGUGCAAGCGUUGUCCGGAAUUAUUGGGCGUAAAGAGCUCGUAGGUGGUUCGUCACGUCGGAUGUGAAACUCUGGGGCUUAACCCCAGACCUGCAUUCGAUACGGGCGAGCUUGAGUAUGGUAGGGGAGUCUGGAAUUCCUGGUGUAGCGGUGGAAUGCGCAGAUAUCAGGAGGAACACCAAUGGCGAAGGCAGGACUCUGGGCCAUUACUGACACUGAGGAGCGAAAGCGUGGGGAGCGAACAGGAUUAGAUACCCUGGUAGUCCACGCCGUAAACGGUGGGCACUAGUUGUGGGGACCUUCCACGGUCUCUGCGACGCAGCUAACGCAUUAAGUGCCCCGCCUGGGGAGUACGAUCGCAAGAUUAAAACUCAAAGGAAUUGACGG
rnacentral:rRNA from 1 species